UUUUUACAAGAUUAAACCAAUGGUGUGUUCUUAAAUAUUUAUGUAGAGAGAUAAUUGUUGAUUUUUUUAAUUAUAUGGUAGUUAGGUUUUUUAUUGUCACCUUCCACAUCAUCUAUCUAUUUAUAAUGAAUGUUGUAUUUAUAUAGUUAUGCUAUACUUAGGUUUUCUAAUUUAUGUCUCUCUCUCUUUAUAAAUUUUUCAAUUUAUUUAUCCACAUGUAUGUAUGUUCCAUGAGUGAGAGAGAAGAAUAGCUAGCUUCUUGUCUUUAUUUGUUGAUAUAGUUAGAUGGGGUUGCUUAAUAUGGUUGGAUAAUGCCUCUCAACAUGUUUGCUUCUCAAUUUAGCUAGUUUUUACAAGAUUAAACCAAUGGUGUGUUCUUGUAUAUUUAUGUAGAGAGAUAAUUGUUGAUUUUU
rnacentral:lncRNA from 1 species